rnacentral:rRNA from 1 species
UACGUAGGGUGCAAGCGUUGUCCGGAAUUAUUGGGCGUAAAGAGCUCGUAGGCGGUCUGUCGCGUCUGCUGUGAAAACUCGGGGCUUAACCCCGGGCCUGCAGUGGGUACGGGCAGACUAGAGUGCGGUAGGGGAGACUGGAAUUCCUGGUGUAGCGGUGAAAUGCGCAGAUAUCAGGAGGAACACCGGUGGCGAAGGCGGGUCUCUGGGCCGUAACUGACGCUGAGGCACGAAGCGUGGGGAGCAAACAGG